UGGGGAAUAUUGCACAAUGGGCGGAAGCCUGAUGCAGCGACGCCGCGUGGGGGAUGAAGGCCUUCGGGUUGUAAACUCCUUUCGACAGGGACGAAGCUUUUGUGACGGUACCUGUAUAAGAAGCACCGGCUAACUACGUGCCAGCAGCCGCGGUAAUACGUAGGGUGCGAGCGUUGUCCGGAAUUACUGGGCGUAAAGAGCUCGUAGGUGGUUUGUCGCGUCGUCUGUGAAAUUCCGGGGCUUAACUCCGGGCGUGCAGGCGAUACGGGCUGACUUGAGUGCUGUAGGGGAGACUGGAAUUCCUGGUGUAGCGGUGAAAUGCGCAGAUAUCAGGAGGAACACCGAUGGCGAAGGCAGGUCUCUGUGCAGUAACUGACGCUAAGGAGCGAAAGCAUGGGUAGCGAACAGG
rnacentral:rRNA from 1 species